GUCGUGAGACAGUUCGGUCCCUAUCUGCCGUGGGCGCUGGAGAAUUGAGGGGGGCUGCUCCUAGUACGAGAGGACCGGAGUGGACGCAUCACUGGUGUUCGGGUUGUCAUGCCAAUGGCACUGCCCGGUAGCUAAAUGCGGAAGAGAUAAGUGCUGAAAGCAUCUAAGCACGAAACUUGCCCCGAGAUGAGUUCUCCCUGAGACUUUAAGUCUCCUGAAGGAACGUUAAAGACGAUGACGUUGAUAGGCCGGGUGUGUAAGCGCAGCGAUGCGUUGAGCUAACCGGUACUAAUGAACCGUGAGGCUUAACCUUACAACGCCGAAG
rnacentral:rRNA from 1 species